rnacentral:rRNA from 1 species
AGAGUUUGAUCAUGGCUCAGGACGAACGCUGGCGGCGUGCUUAACACAUGCAAGUCGAACGAGGUCCAAGGAGUAGCAAUACUCCUGAAGACUUAGUGGCGAACGGGUGAGUAACACGUGAGCAACCUGCCCCGAAGACCGGGAUAACAGCGGGAAACCGCUGCUAAUACCGGAUGUCCCCAUCGGACCACAUGGCCUGAUGAGGAAAUGGAUUCCGCUUCGGGAGGGGCUCGCGGCCUAUCAGCUUGUUGGUGGGGUAACGGCCCACCAAGGCGACGACGGGUAGCUGGUCUGAGAGGACGAUCAGCCACACUGGGACUGAGACACGGCCCAGACUCCUACGGGAGGCAGCAGUGGGGAAUAUUGCGCAAUGGGCGAAAGCCUGACGCAGCAACGCCGCGUGAGGGAUGAAGGCCUUCGGGUUGUAAACCUCUUUCGAGCAGGGACGAUAAUGACGGUACCUGCAGAAGAAGCUCCGGCCAACUACGUGCCAGCAGCCGCGGUAAUACGUAGGGAGCGAGCGUUGUCCGGAUUCAUUGGGCGUAAAGAGCUCGUAGGCGGCUUGAUAAGUCGGAUGUGAAACCUCCAGGCUUAACCUGGAGUCGCCAUCCGAUACUGUCAUGGCUAGAGUCCGGUAGGGGCCCACGGAACUCCUGGUGUAGCGGUGAAAUGCGCAGAUAUCAGGAAGAACACCGGUGGCGAAGGCGGUGGGCUGGGCCGGCACUGACGCUGAGGAGCGAAAGCGUGGGGAGCGAACAGGAUUAGAUACCCCCGUAGUCC